rnacentral:rRNA from 1 species
AAACUGUGAAGUUAAACAAAUCUCAAAAUACCGUUCUCAGUUCGGAUUGGAGUCUGCAACUCGACUCCAUGAAGGUGGAAUCGCUAGUAAUCGCGCAUCAACCAUGGCGCGGUGAAUACGUUCCCGGACCUUGUACACACCGCCCGUCAAGCCAUGGAAGCUGGGGGUGCCUAAAGAUGGUGACUUUACGGGGAGCUAUCUAAGGUAAAACUAGUGACUGGGGCUAAGUCGUAACAAGGUAACCGUA